rnacentral:rRNA from 1 species
UACGGAGGGGGCUAGCGUUGUUCGGAAUUACUGGGCGUAAAGCGCGCGUAGGCGGCUUUGUAAGUUAGAGGUGAAAGCCCGGAGCUCAACUCCGGAACUGCCUUUAAGACUGCAUCGCUAGAAUCAUGGAGAGGUGAGUGGAAUUCCGAGUGUAGAGGUGAAAUUCGUAGAUAUUCGGAGGAACACCAGUGGCGAAGGCGGCUCACUGGCUCGGUACUGACGCUGAGGUGCGAAAGCGUGGGGAGCAAACAGG